UCCCUCUCAACCAAACAUAAGACGGGAUGAUCCCAUCCCAAAAAAUAGGAACGGCACCGUCCCAUCCCUUCUUGUCUCCAAACCAAACGCACCCUAAGAGCGCCUCACGGGAUGCGCAUCGGCGGCGGGGUCUCUUGCCAUGACAGAGCUCCAUCGCCUAACCUCAUCUCCCCGCAGGACGAUGAGCACAUUUUCCCUG
rnacentral:lncRNA from 1 species